rnacentral:sRNA from 1 species
ACUUGUGUCUGCCAAAUUGGUAGUUCUAGGAGUUCCUGUCCUCAUAAGCUCUCCCAACAUCGCUUAAUGAAGCUUAUUCUCAGACAGGACAUUAGGCUUAACAUCUUCCAUUCCAAAGUAGAACUAUGAUGACAAGGAACUCCAUAACAUCAACUAUGAAAGAACUGAUAGAAAAGAAUGGACCACAAGCAAUGCCUAUGUCCCUAAAAGCUAUGCAGUAAGAACCGCUGAGAUCUUUUAACACAAAACUGUGUGAUAUAACAGAUAAACGGAUUCAUGUUAUCAAACUCUUUCUAUCACAGAUCCAAAUCUAUUUUUAGUUUGCUGGUACAUUAACAAAUUGUGUUUUGUUUUGGUUUACAAAUUGGCAAUAGUAGGUCUGCUAACCAUGAUUACGAAAGAGAAUUUGUACUGAAACGUAAACACUGGGUUCAUAAGUAACUCUAAUAUUGGCUUCACUCGAAUCAAACACCGGAGUCCAGGACAUAGCCUACAGUGUGGCCUGAUCAGUCUAGAAUAUAUAGGUCUACAGUCAUCUGAGUUACAAUAAACAUAGAUGGAUAACAUUAAAUCUUGGAGUAACAAAGUCAAUGAUAUAAUAUGGCCUGGCUCUGUGCUCAAUGUUCUCGUGAUAGUCAGCUGUCUGUCAACUAUAAGGUUCUGCCACUUCUCGCUGUUGCACCCUCUCAAACUGAAACUACAAGUCAUCGAAAGGGUAGUUCUACCAUCAAAUGAAUCUCUGGCAAUAGUCUCUGUAUUAGCAUCAUGUGGUAUCGUUCUGUUUGCAGUCAAUGUUCUUGUAAGAAGGCUGGCUCUACGAAUUCUUUUAGCACGAAGAUUUUGG